AGAGUUUGAUCCUGGCUCAGGACGAACGUGGCGGCGUGCCUAAUACAUGCAAGUAGAACGCUGAAGACUUUAGCUUGCUAGAGUUGGAAGAGUUGCGAACGGGUGAGUAACGCGUAGGUAACCUGCCUACUAGCGGGGGAUAACUAUUGGAAACGAUAGCUAAUACCGCAUAAUAGUGUUUAACACAUGUUAGAGACUUGAAAGAUGCAAUUGCAUCACUAGUAGAUGGACCUGCGUUGUAUUAGCUAGUUGGUGGGGUAACGGCCUACCAAGGCGACGAUACAUAGCCGACCUGAGAGGGUGAUCGGCCACACUGGGACUGAGACACGGCCCAGACUCUACGGGAGGCAGCAGUAGGGAAUCUUCGGCAAUGGGGGCAACCCUGACCGAGCAACGCCGCGUGAGUGAAGAAGGUUUUCGGAUCGUAAAGCUCUGUUGUAAGAGAAGAACGUGUGUGAGAGUGGAAAGUUCACACAGUGACGGUAACUUACCAGAAAGGGACGGCUAAUACGUGCCAGCAGCCGCGGUAAU
rnacentral:rRNA from 1 species